rnacentral:rRNA from 1 species
CCAUGCCGCGUGAAGGAUGCAGCGCUAUGCGUUGUAACUUCUUUUGUACAGGAAGAACACUUCUACGUGUAGAAGCUUGACGGUACUGUACGAAUAAGCAUCGGCUAACUCCGUGCCAGCAGCCGCGGUAAUACGGAGGAUGCAAGCGUUAUCCGGAUUUAUUGGGUUUAAAGGGUACGUAGGCGGAAAAUUAAGUCAGUAGUGAAAUCCCGCAGCUUAACUGUGGAACUGUUAUUGAUACUGGUUUUCUUGAAUUUAGUUGAGGUAGGCCGGAAUGUGUAAUGUAGCCGGUGAAAUGCUUAGAUAUUACACAGAAACACCGAUUGCGAAGGCAGCUUACUAAGCUAUGAUUGACGCUGAGGUACGAAAGCGUGGGGAGCGAACANGAUUAGAUACCUGGUAGUCCCACGCUGUAAACGAUGAUCACUCG